rnacentral:lncRNA from 1 species
AGGUAUAGAAAGCUCUUGGAGGAAGCUGUGCAAUAGAAGCAAAUCUAAUUUUUCAAGCAAACACAUCGGUCUCCUGUGUGGUAUAGCUGUGGGUCUUAUACACAGUUUUCUCUUCCUCUUUAACCUGGAGAGCCCUCCAAAAGAGAAUAGGGAAGGCUGUUUUCAUCUAGCCUGGAAAAUACACAGGUCCCAAGGCGAUUGACUUUGUAAGCUCACUGGCAAUGAAGAGUGUAGAAAAUGUUGAUGUACCUGUUCCUGUGAAUUUGAAGGACCUGUAAGCUGUGCACAGACUUCCUCUGUGGAGUUCAGUCUGCUCUCCACAAUAUGUUCUGGUGGAGCAGGGAGAGAAGCAAGGAAGGGACCCCAAGGAUUGGCAGCAAUACAAUUGUCAGCCUGCCUUAGAGUGGGUCCUGUGACUAUGGCUUCUGCCAGAUGCUUUUAAAGAAGAUAGAAGCUGUGCACAACAAGCAAAUGGUAAAGAAGGCAGAGCCGGAGCAGUUCCUCCUGCAGUGCUUUUGUCACAUGGCCCCAUCUCUGACCUCACUGCUGUUGUGUCACCUGAGACUCCUCUCUGUAAACCUGUACCAGAGCCUCUGUGCUGCAGAGCAAAAUGGACUAUGAAUUGACUCUGAGGUACAGCAAAAUAUGGUGUAGGUGCAUCUUCAUGACCAGGAGGUGGAUAACAACAACCAUCUCAGAAAAACACAAGUCCAAGGAUUUCCAACACGCUUAUUUGGUUACAAAUGAGCCCCUGGCCAAGCUGCUCUUCUUUCUUAAGAACAAGCAAGCUAGGACAUCUUACUAUGACAUAAGAAAAAUGUCAGAUAGAAGAAAUCCUGGGGAGAAUGUUAAAAUGAAUGGCUUACCUGACAGAGAGGAAGGAAAUUUGAGCCUGCACAGUUCAGGUGCCUGAAAUCAUACACCACUCUCAUAAUAUGAGGUUCCCAUGUGAAGCAAUACAGAAUAUUCCUG